UGGGGAAUAUUGCACAAUGGGCGAAAGCCUGAUGCAGCAACGCCGCGUGAGUGAUGAAGGCCUUCGGGUUGUAAAGCUCUGUCUUUUGGGACGAUAAUGACGGUACCAAAGGAGGAAGCCACGGCUAACUACGUGCCAGCAGCCGCGGUAAUACGUAGGUGGCAAGCGUUGUCCGGAUUUUACUGGGCGUAAAGGAUGCGUAGGCGGAUUUUUAAGUGAGAUGUGAAAACCCUAAGCUUAACUUGGGGACUGCAUUUCAUACUGGAAAUCUAGAGUGCGGGAGAGGAGAAUGGAAUUCCUAGUGUAGCGGUGAAAUGCGUAGAGAUUAGGAAGAACACCAGUGGCGAAGGCGAUUCUCUGGACCGUAACUGACGCUGAGGCAUGAAAGCGUGGGUAGCAAACAGGAUUAGAUACCCUGGUAGUCCACGCCGUAAACGAUGAGUACUAGGUGUAGGAGGUAUCGACCCC
rnacentral:rRNA from 1 species